UAGGGAAUCUUCCACAAUGGACGCAAGUCUGAUGGAGCAACGCCGCGUGAGUGAAGAAGGUUUUCGGAUCGUAAAGCUCUGUUGUUGGUGAAGAAGGAUAGAGGCAGUAACUGGUCUUUAUUUGACGGUAAUCAACCAGAAAGUCACGGCUAACUACGUGCCAGCAGCCGCGGUAAUACGUAGGUGGCAAGCGUUGUCCGGAUUUAUUGGGCGUAAAGCGAGCGCAGGCGGAAUGAUAAGUCUGAUGUGAAAGCCCACGGCUCAACCGUGGAACAACAUCGGAAACGGUAAUUCUUGAGUGCAGAAGAGGAGAGUGGAAUUCCAUGUGUAGCGGUGGAAUGCGUAGAUAUAUGGAAGAACACCAGUGGCGAAGGCGGCUCUCUGGUCUGCAACUGACGCUGAGGAUCGAAAGCAUGGGUAGCGAACAGG
rnacentral:rRNA from 1 species